AAACACAGGGAACAAAAAGAAAAAACAAUAUCAACGAAGCUCCAUUUUUGGUUUUCUCUUGAACCUUUCCCAGACGCAAAAAAAUCAAUUUUUGACAAAUCCACCGCAAUCUUUGCGAAUUCAGACCAGAGGUUUAAUCGGCACUGAAUUUCAACUUUCGCACUUGGCACUAGACCCCUUGGGCAAAUUUAUCUCAUCCGUUAUUUCACAACAAAUCGGCACAAGGAAUCAGAAGUAAUCUUUCAACUUUAAGUAUUUUACCCAAGAGUAGUU
rnacentral:ribozyme from 1 species